ensembl:lncRNA
UUGUGGUAUGCUAGCUAGUGUGAAGUCGUGAAGAACCUUCUCAACAUUAGGUCUCAUAUCUCUAGCAGCUUAAUUUUUACUUUGUCUUAAGCAUGAGACUUGCUUUAGUUUGGGUAAGUUAGUUUCCUGUUGAAAACGGUCCUAGCUUAGACCUAACAGCACUGAAUUGUUAUGUUUGAAAAACAGAAAGUUAAAUUUAAAAAUAACCUCAAUGCACUUUUUUAGGCUGACUGUUGUCUCAUUUACCCAGUCAAAAUCACUUCCAUUGUAGUGAAUUCGGUACUAUGUGAAAGCUUCUACUUUGAAUGACUUCUGUACAUUCAUCUGCCCUCAUUUUCAGCUUUGAUAUCUUUUUUCAUAGCUUCCUUCUAUAGCUUCCAGCACAUACCAGCAUAGACUAGGCCACAUUCAUACUGAUCAGAAUAGAUGCUCUGGUAGAGUAACUUGGGCAGGUAUGGAAUUAUAAGGUGACACAUUCCUACUUGGUAUGCUGUUUAUAUCAUAAAAUAAAUACCAUUGUUACUACUACACAGUAUCAUGUACAGGCAUGUCAUUUUUCUACUAACUUUUACAUUUGUGAUUUUUAAGGUUAAUAGCGUUAGUAGUUAAGACUGCAUAAAAUAUACUGAGAGUUGCCUCCUGCAUUACUAAAGAUAAAAGUAACUAAUUCUUGUACACUAAUGAAUCUAUAUCUAAAUUAGUAAAAAUAUCAGGACUUCAAAGUGGGUUGAGUCAUAGAGGUGCUGCUUGAGUUUUCUUUUGGAAAGAAUCAGCACUUACAGUGUUCACUCAAGGUCGUGCUCCUGAAUACUUCCAAAUGUUCUUCAAAAGAUUUUUAUGCUACUUUCUUAGGGGUAGGUUAUUUGACCAUCAAGAUUCAUUCAUGAACUUGCAUCUGUGAGCUGUGUUCAGCCUUGGACUUCCAUCUUGCUGAAACUGCUCAAUGGCAUUUGAUGUCCACUUUUCCCAGCUGUAGUGGAAUACGAUUAAAGUCAGCUGUUGCAACAAGGGUCACAUAAGAAUUGCCUGUGUAACUGUAAGAAUAACUCCAGUUCACACUGAAAUACAUGUAAUAAUACAACAUAUUUGAGGUAGAAUAUACUGAAAUUGUAAUAUAAUUGUAAUUUCUGUGUGUAUGGGUGAAUAGGUAUUUCUGUGCACAUUCUAAAGACUGAGGUACUGAAGGUCACAGUAUAAUUUAUAGAUUGAAAAUUAUCGCUGUCUGCUUAACAGCUUUGACCCGGGUGCCAGAUAGCAAAAUCAUACUGAUUUCUACAAAUUCUUACCCUGAGUCUUGUAACUCACAUAUGGUUGCAUGACUGACUAAUUUGCUUUUGUUUAAUCUUGAAUGUUUUCAAACAAUUCUGAAUAAUGUUUACACUAAACUUGUUGAAAUUAUGAGAUCCAAUACAAGUUGAGAAAGUGUGAUGUAUGAGGGGAAAGGCUGAAUAAUAUCAAAACAGAGAAACAUUCUCUGGCAUUAUAUAAUCAAAUCUGGCAUUAUCAAAUCAAAUCUGAAAGUCAAAGAGUAUGUCCAGCUGAGAAAGAACGCACUGUCCUAUUUCACUUUCUUUAUUCAUGUAAUGUUUCCGGUUUUGUUUUUUUAUUAAACUUUGGAUUACUUUUUCAUUCCUACUGAGAAUUUCUUAUCGACUGUAUUUUUUAGAAGUCUUUGUUUUGCAUUAAAAAAAAUCUAAGUUUCUUUUUCUCCUCUGAGUUUCUUUAACAUUGAUGUAGUUGUUCAGCUACUUUGCUUCUAUUUUCUGAAUCUGUUUUUAGAUUUUCCCAAUUCUUUUCAAAUAGCUGUCACUACUCAAUACUUUUUGUUUUACAAGAUUAAUCUACAAUCUGCAUUGAUGGCUUUGGGAAACUGUAGUCUGAUAAAGAGUAAAGUUCUUAUUAUCUCUGUUGUUUCUUCUCAAGUGAACAACUGGGUGUUGGCAGAAACAUUGAAGUCCUGGUCUGGUUUUCAAUAGAAGUGUCUAUGAUGGCAUUAGUUACAGCACUGGUUAAAUUUCUUACUUCAGUAAUUAAAUUAUGUCAAUGCAUUUAUACUGAUGCAUUAAACCUCCCUCACUUUUUGUCUUCUGACUUCUUGUAUGUAAUGUAAAAACAAACAAUUCUGUGAGCAGUGGUAGUGGCAAGUGCAAGCACACAACAUCAAGGCGUUUUCUGGAAUGUUUGUGUGAACCCUACUUGGAUGGAAACUUAUGUUGUAGGUAUUUCCUAAAAGUUUAUAAAUUACCACUUAUCAAAUUGCAAAAAUAGAGAUUUUUUU